UACGUAGGGGGCAAGCGUUGUCCGGAUUUAUUGGGCGUAAAGAGCGUGUAGGCGGCCAGAUAGGUCUGCUGUGAAAACUCGAGGCUCAACCUCGAGCUGUCGGCGGAAACCAUUUGGCUAGAGUCCGGAAGAGGAGAGUGGAAUUCCUGGUGUAGCGGUGAAAUGCGCAGAUAUCAGGAGGAACACCGGUGGCGAAGGCGGCAUCCUGGACCGGCAUUGACGCUGAGGCGCGAAAGCCAGGGGAGCAAACGGG
rnacentral:rRNA from 1 species